rnacentral:rRNA from 1 species
GAUGAACGCUAGCGGCAGGUCCUAAUACAUGCAAGUCGAACGGCGAGCACGGGUAGCAAUAUCUGGUGGCGAGUGGCGCACGGGUGCGUAACGCGUAUGCAAUCUACCUUUAACUGGUGAAUAGCCCGAAGAAAUUCGGAUUAACACACCAUAGUAUAAUUGAGUGGCAUCACUUAAUUAUUAAAACUCCGGUGGUUAAAGAUGAGCAUGCGUGACAUUAGCUAGUUGGUGAGGUAAUGGCUCACCAAGGCUACGAUGUCUAGGGGAUCUGAGAGGAUUAACCCCCACACUGGUAC